UACAGAGGGGGCAAGCGUUGUUCGGAAUUACUGGGCGUAAAGGGCGCGUAGGCGGCCUUCUAAGUCGAACGUGAAAUCCCUGGCUCAACCCAGGAACUGCGUCCGAUACUGGAAGGCUUGAAUCCGGGAGAGGGAUGCGGAAUUCCAGGUGUAGCGGUGAAAUGCGUAGAUAUCUGGAGGAACACCGGUGGCGAAGGCGGCAUCCUGGACCGGUAUUGACGCUGAGGCGCGAAAGCCAGGGGAGCAAACGGG
rnacentral:rRNA from 1 species